GACGAACGCUGGCGGCGUGCUUAACACAUGCAAGUCGAACGCUGAACCCGCUUCGGUGGGGGAUGAGUGGCGAACGGGUGAGUAACACGUGGGCAACCUGCCCCCGGCUCUGGGAUAACUCCAAGAAAUUGGGGCUAAUACCGGAUGUGACCGCUGGCCGCAUGGUCUGGUGGUGGAAAGGGUUUCCGGCUGGGGAUGGGCCCGCGGCCUAUCGGCUUGUUGGUGGGGUAGUGGCCUACCAAGGCGACGACGGGUAGCCGGCCUGAGAGGGUGUCCGGCCACACUGGGACUGAGACACGGCCCAGACUCCUACGGGAGGCAGCAGUGGGGAAUAUUGCGCAAUGGGCGGAAGCCUGACGCAGCGACGCCGCGUGGGGGAUGACGGCCUUCGGGUUGUAAACCUCUUUCAGCAGGGACGAAGCGCAAGUGACGGUACCUGCAGAAGAAGCACCGGCCAACUACGUG
rnacentral:rRNA from 1 species